UACGUAGGUGGCGAGCGUUGUCCGGAUUUACUGGGCGUAAAGGGAGCGUAGGCGGACUUUUAAGUGAGAUGUGAAAUACUCGGGCUCAACUUGAGUGCUGCAUUUCAAACUGGAAGUCUAGAGUGCAGGAGAGGAGAAUGGAAUUCCUAGUGUAGCGGUGAAAUGCGUAGAGAUUAGGAAGAACACCAGUGGCGAAGGCGAUUCUCAGGACUGUGACUGACGCUGAGGCUCGAAAGCGUGGGGAGCAAACAGG
rnacentral:rRNA from 1 species